CUUGCAAAUCAUUCCUAGGCCCCUCUCUUAAUGGGUAAACCAUUUUUUCUCUUUUAGGGUCUUGUAUCUUUUGAGGAGGUGGUUGUGUCUUUCUCUGAGGAGGAGGGGGCUCAGCUGAAUAUCGAUCAAAAGGCUCUGCAUAGGGAGGUCAUGCUGGAGAAUUCCAGGAAUGUGGAAUCUCUGGGAAUAAAUGGGUAUAAGAAUGAAAAUGACAAGCAAGUAU